CGACCUGAGCUCAGGCAAGAUUACCCGCUGAACUUAAGCAUAUCAAUAAGCGGAGGAAAAGAAACCAACCAGGAUUUCCCUAGUAACGGCGAGCGAACCGGAAAAAGCCCAACUUGAAAAUCUCCCCUUUGGAGAAUUGUAGUCUACAGAAGUGCCCUCUGCGGUCAUGGGAGCUCAAGUCCGCUGGAAGGCGGCGUCAGAGAGGGUGAGAACCCCGUCAGCUCCCCCUUGGCUGCAUCACGAGGUGCUUUCCACGAGUCGGGUUGUUUGGGAAUGCAGCCCAAAAUUGGAGGUAAAUCCCUUCUAAGGCUAAAUAAUGGCGAGAGACCGAUAGCGAACAAGUACCGUGAGGGAAAGAUGAAAAGAACUUUGAAAAGAGAGUUAAAAAGUGCUUGAAAUUGUUGAGGGGGAAGCGGUUGGAAGUCGUGGGUGCGCCUAGGCUUAUGCGUCUCUUACGAGCCGCUGCAUGUGCUAGGUGCUGGUCAACAUGAGUUACGCCGUCGGGACA
rnacentral:rRNA from 1 species